GAUGCUGUAAACCAGAGGUUGCUCAGCCUCUCUCCCUGGUCCAUAUUACCUAGCGCUGGCGGGGAGAAGCUCCUGGUCCGUAGUGCCUAGUGCCCACAGGAGUAGGCUUGAGCGAUCUCUCCUCCUAGUCACCUAGAGUACCAAUAAAGUGUGUUUAGCUUGAUCUUCCUCAGUCUCCUGGACUCUUCCUUUGUGGCAACCUGGCCAGUUCCCGGAGGGGGAGAUCCUGACAGCUGGCACCCGAACAGAACAGGGACCUGAAAUCUACUGGUAAGGAGACGAGCCUUUGAGGAAUCCUUGAAAGGCAGAGAAACAACUAGUCACAGACAAGAUAAAAGAGAAGGCGAGAGCAUGGCAUGAGAUGCAUCCUCCUCCCCCAGACGAUGCAGCUGGACCAAUGCCGCUAACAUCGGUUCAUAUUAGGGGAAUUGGAUUAGCACCAGAAGCAGCAGCUGGCCCUAGAUUCGCUGAUGCCAGAGCCUUCUAUAGAACAUGGGUUCUUGAGGCACUUCAAAAAUGCCAGAGAACUCUCAGUGGGGUUCCUAAAGCAGUCAGCAUCAGACAAGGGCCCAAAGAACCCUACCCUGAGUUUAUUAAUUGAUUAUUUACUCAGAUUGAUAUGGAAACAUCUAGAGAGGAUUUGAGAACAUAUUUAAAGGACACCAUGAGCAUUCAAAAUGCUAAUGAAGAAUGUAAAAAGUUGUUUAGAAAUUUAAGACCAGGAGAUUCAUUAGAAGAAAAAAUGUAUCCCUGUAGAGAAUUUGGAUCCACCUCCUAUAAGAUGGCCAUGCUGGCAGAGGCCUUAAAGGCUGGAGAUAGACAGCAAGGGUCAAGAAGUUUUCAGGGAAAUUGUUACAGGUGUGGAAAAAAGGGGCAUAUGGCAAGAAAUUGUAGGAGUGGAGAAAAAACUCCACUAAAAUGCUAUAAUUGUGAGAGAACCAGACAUAUGGCAAAAGUAUGUAGACAGCCAAAAAAUGGGAAAGUGGGGGGCAAUGCCCCCCAGACCAUGAUGGCAUCUGCCCAGAAUAUCCAGUCAUCUAUCCCACUGUCUGCCCCACCCCUGGGGGAAACACAGACGGAAGCCCCUGGAACAGGAAUCUACCCAAAAUUACCAAAAUGGAAUUAAAACAAAGACCUACCUUAAAGGUAAGCCUAGGGGGAAAAGAUAUAAUAGGGCUGUUAGACACAGGAGCCGAUUUAACCAUAAUAAGGGAACAAGAGGCUGAAGGAAUAAAAGAAGGGAUAACAGAAGGAUGGCAAAAUAUAAAGGGGGUGGGAGGGUGCUCUAAAUUACAAAAGAUAUCACAAGUUACACUGAAAGACAAAAAAGGAAGGAAGACGAAGACAUCGAUACUAAUAUCCCCAGAUAUUCCCAUCGAUAUAUUCGGAAGGGAUAUCUUAACAAAGUUAGGGGUAGCCCUAAUUAUGGUGCAACUCUCUACCCAAAUUAACCCAAUAAAGAUAAAAAUGAAAGAUCCUAAUAAAGGUCCCUUGAUUCCCCAAUGGCCUUUAACCAAAGAAAAAUCAGACGGAAUUAAGGAAAUAACAAAAAGACUACUAGAGGAAGGGAAGAUAUCUCCAGCAAGCCCAGAUAAUCCAUGGAACACUCCAACAUUUGUGAUAAGGAAAAACUCAGGUAAAUGGUGAAUGCUAAUAGAUUUUAGAGAACUUAAUAAAUUAGUAGAUAAGGGAAGAGAAGUUCAAUUAGGUAUUCCACACCCUGGAGGAUUACAAAGAAGAAAUCAGGUUACUGAUCUGGAUAUAGGGGAUGCUUAUUUUACCACCCCUCUGGAUAAGGACUUCAGGCAGUACACUGCUUUUACCAUCCCAGAGGUUAAUAAUCAAGGUCCAGGCCUUAGGUAUGUUUGGAAUUGUCUCCCACAAGGUUUUGUAUUCAGUCCCUUGAUUUAUCAAAGUACACUAAGGGACAUACUAAAGCCCUGGAGACAACAACACCCAGAAGUAGAUCUUUAUCAAUAUAUGGAUGAUAUAUAUAUUGGGUCUGAUCAUUCUCCAAAACAACACAAACUGGUCAUAGAAAAACUUAGAAAAAUGCUUCUAGAAAAGGGAUUUGAGACCCCAAAUGAGGAAUUACAAGAACAAUAUCCCUUUUCAUGGAUGGGGUACUUGUUACACCCGAAUAAAUGGACAUUGCAAAGACUAGAGUUGCCAGAACUUCCAGAGAAACCCACCCUAAAUGAAUUACAAAAGUUAGUAGGACUCCUUAAUCGGAUGACCCAAGCUGUUCCUGGAAUUAAGACAAAACCUUUUACUCUCAUGAUGAAGGGAAACCAAGAGUUAGAUAGUAUCAGGGAAUGGACCUCCGAAGCAAGACAGGAGUUACGGACUGUAAGGAGGCUAUUACAAGAACACAAACCUUUAAGCUACUGGGACCCCAGCAAGGAAGUUUACUGAUCAGUUAUGAUGGGAGGUAACACCAAAAAUUAUAAAGUGCACCAAGGAGCUGAUAUCCUUUGGGUAGGUAGACAGGAAUUUCCAAAGGUAUUAGCAGCAUCUCCUCUAACUAGAGCCCUAAAAUGUCUACAUAAAAUCAGACAAGAAUGUAUUAUACGAAUAGGGCAAGAACUUAUAUAUAGGUUACCUACAAAAAAAAGAGGAUUUAGAUAUUAUGAUUCAGGAAGACCCCUACUUGCAUUGGGUACCACGGAUUGAAUGUAUCCAUGUGCCUUUAAUGCUUAGAAGGGCGCUAAGCAGUCUUCAAGGUCAUCCCAUGCCAGGACCUACUUACUAUGUUGAUGGAGGAAGCAAACAUGGGCAAGGAAAAUAUGGUUUUUGGAGAUCAGAUGGAGUUAAACUAGUUAAAGAGAGUAAGGGAAGUAAUCAAGAAUUAGAAAAAAGAGCCAUGCUACUAGCCCUUCAGGAAGGAGCCCCGAUAAUGAAUAUAGUUAUGGAUUCCCAAUAUGUAUAUACAUUAAUUGAGGCCAGAUCCCUACCUUUAAAUAUUGAAGAACCCUUGCUUAGAAUCAUAUUAGAAGCUAUAGAAAGUAAAGAAGAAAUUUACAUCCAAUGGGUGCCUGGACAUAAGGGAAUCCCAGGCAAUGAAAAUAUUGACAAAUUAGUUUCACAAAUAAAUACAACUCAAAUAACCUGGUAGUACAAGGUGGUCACAUUAAGGAAAAAGAACCAGAACAGAUUGGAUACUCCAUAAGUGCCCCAAAAGAUCUGGUACUUGUGCCAAAGGUAACAGAGACCCUUAACCUACAAACACAAAUUACCAUAAUCCCAGGACAGUGGGGGUGGAUAACAGAAACAUCAGAGAUGAUUGAGGCCAAAGUAAGGGUAGUUGGAGAUUUCAUCAGCCCAGGAGAUCAAAAUCCUUUAAAGAUAAGAUUGGUCAACCUAUCCCAAAAAAUAGUAUAUGUAAAAACAGGACAACUAAUAAUUCAGUUGAUUUUAAUGCCUGUCCUCCAUAACAUAAGUAAGGCACCAAACAUCUUUUUUCUAGAACAUAUUGAGACAGCCACAGAUGAUCAUGCUAAAUGGCAUAGUGGUGUGUCAUACUUGAGACAACAAUUCAGUUUACCAAGAAUUGUAGCAGAACAAAUAACAAAGAACUGCCCCAAGUGUGUGCAUAAAGGAGGAACUACUCCUCAUAUUAGUAGAUCAGGGCCAGGACUGUGGCAAAUGGAUGUGACCCACUAUGAGGCCCAGUUAAUUCCAGUAGCCAUUGAGACAUCUACUGGCCUUCUAUGGGCUAAGCUAAUUCCUGAGGAAACUGCUCAGGAAACAGUAUGGGGAAUAUUAGAACUACAGAACCUAUUUCAUAUCCAAGCACUCCAACCAGAUAAUGGCCCUAACUUCACAGCAGAAAGGGUCAUGGGGCUGUGCUGAUAUUUAAAUAUUGAUCAUACCACAGGCAUACCCUAUAAUCCACAGUCGCAGGGAAUGGUUGAGAGAGCUAAUCAAUCCUUAAAACAGGAAAUGGAUAAAUUUGCUGAUGUGGUUCAAAUGAUUGAAGCACGGCUACAAUUGGUUCUUAUUGCCCUUAAUCAAAAGUAAAGGGGAGGAAGAGGGGGCUAUACUCCUGAAAGAUACAUGCAUCAGAGAUGGCAAGAACUAAAGCAAACACUCCAACUCCAGAAAUUUAAAGACAAAAAACUCUUUUGCUUUUAUAGAUUACCAAACAGUAAAGACUGGAAAGGGCCCACUACCAUCCUUUGAAUAAUCCCCUGCAUAGGGGAUUAUUACCUUGCCCUAAAGACAUGUUAGGAUGGUUCCAGCCCCAGGACCUCAGGACUUGGGAAUUUCCAAUUAGGCACUAAUGGAAUAUCAAUUGCAAUUAUCCUGUCAAAAGAACUAAUGUGUUUGUAAGGUGCUUUUUACAAAAAGAAUUAGGGAUUUCAUAUUCCAGAGCUAAGACUAAAGAACUCCAGAAAUGGAAAAAGCAGCAGCAAACGGAGAUGGGACCCAGAUAAAGGUAAGUUAAUUGAAGGUAAGCAAAUACUUAAACAAUUAAAAAUAUUAGGCAACUUGAGAUUGUGGGAAAGAUUCAACUACCUAUACUCAGAGCUUAUGGAUUGAUAAUGACAAUUAUCACCUUAAUUAUAUUACCAAGGGCAAAAACAGAAGAACAAGUGUUAGGCUUAGUAUAAAAUACAAUGGUCAACAAUUCAAGAUGAGUUUUCUGUCUCUCUUUUUUUUUUUUUUUUUUUGUAAAAAUGGCUCAGAGCUUAGAUAUAUCAGAUGCAGACCUCCAAGUAAUAGUCAACACAUUGUUUUUGGCAGGCAGGAUAUGAAAUGUUUCAAAAACAUUUUGUAAAACCUCCAGUAAGGGAAGACCCAGGAAGUAGGACAUGCAGGAUAGAAGGGGAGGUAUUGUAUGCUAGAUGCACACAACCAUUAGAUUCUAAAAAGGAGCUCGGUUGCUAUAUAAGGGACUUGGAACGGGAAGAGAGAAUGAUAACAUUCUUGGCUCCAUAUAUGGUGGUAAAGGCAACUCCCUUCAAAUAUGUACCAGUAAGUAUGUCUGAUUUGACUAUACCAGUAAAACCGAUGCGCAAAAAAAGAGACUUUGGAGUAACAGCAGCUAUUGUCGCUAUAGCGGUGUCAGCAGCCAUGGUAGCUGGCGCUGACUGGAGCACUGGCUGUAAACACUACACAAAUACAGGGAGAUGCUUUGGAGUCCCUCCUGAAGGUAAUUCAGGAGCAGUGAGCUCAGUGAGGUGACCAGUCAGCACUGCUUAAGACAUAUGCUAUGGGGCUCCAGAUGCUCAAAGCAGGCACGGUACAAAUAGAACAGAUAAUUAAAAUACUAGCUUUGGAAAGAGAACUCAAGUAUGAAGCAAUUGGAAGAGUUUGAGUUACCACCAUUCCGUGGAACAAUCUAUCCAUUCCUAAUGCAACGCAACUAGCUGAUGUGUUCAAACACAAUCAAUCUACCUGGCUAGAGUGGGUAAAUACAACCGCUCAACUUGAGGCUAACAUUACUAAGAGAGCUCUACAGAUAAUACAGCUUCAAAAUACAGUGGCAUUUAAGAUAGGUUAAGUCAAAACCGUGGAACAGACAAUAAAUACUUUGACUGACACAGUUUCCUCUUGGCUCCCAUCCUGGAAAUGGUUUAAAAUAGGAGCAAUAUUUUGUAUGGCUCUUGUAUGCUUGCCUAUCUUACAGCACCUCUUCUCAAUUGGACGGAAUUUUGCGAAGGGAUACCUAGCCCUCCUAAAGGAACCCGGCCUACCCGAAAUUAAGAAUAAGAAUAAGAAUAAGAAUAAGAAUAAGGAUAAGGAUAAGAAUAAGAAUAAGAAUAAGAAUAAGAAUAAGAAUAAGAAUAAGAGUAAGAGUAAGGGUAAGAGUAACAGUAAGAAUAAGGAGAAGGAGGAGAAGGAGAAGGAGAAGGAGAAGGAGGAGGAGAAGAAGAAGAUCCCGAAUAUGGAAAUCAAUUUGGGAUAUGCUCAAGAAUGUUCAUCCCCUUGGCCCAUCUGCUCAAUGGGCUUUUCAGGACUACAAGCGCAUUUAAAGAAAAGAAAAGGGAGGACUGUUAGAGAACCAUUCAUGGAGAAAGUAACUGUAGUGCCAUUUGAAAGAAAAUAACUGUAGCGCAGUUUGAAAGAAAGUAACCGCACAGUAGCACAGCUUGAAAGAAAAGUAGAAAAGUAGCUGCUCUAGCUGGUAAGAUUUGAAAAGGGAUGGCCUAACUAGACAGCCUAGCCACAAACCACAAACUGUCAUUGCCAUGACUACAGGACCCUGGGAGGUCGGAAUGUGGGCGGAGCUAGCCUCUAGAAACUAUAUAAGGGGACCCUCAGAUGCUGUAAACCAGAGGUUGCCCAGCCUCUCUCCCUGGUCCAUAUUACCUAGCGCUGGCGGGGAGAAGCUCCUGGUCCGUAGUGCCUAAUGCCCGCAGGAGUAGGCUUGAGCCAUCUCUCCUCCUAGUCACCCAGAGUACCAAUAAAGUGUGUUUAGCUUGAUCUUCCUCAGUCUCCUCAACUCUUCCUCUGUGGCAACCUGGCCAGUUCCCGGAGGGGGAGAGCCUGACAAAAACUGUCUUAUAAACAAAAUAUAAUUUACAUAUUAUUAAAAUGAAAAUGAAAAAAACUAUAUAAAUAUAAUUAGAUAGACUUCAUUUAGAUACUUAACCAUUCUUGAGCAUUUACUAUUUUUAUUGUUUCAUUUAUUUAAGUUUUCCUAUUUGAAAAGCAGAGAAGUAGAGAGGGAGAGAGAUGGAGUACGCUCCCAUCCAUUGGUUUAUUCCCCAAAGGCUUGCAAGGGGAAGCUGAGGUUGGGAGCUGGGAACACAAACCAAAUCUCCCAUGUGGAUGGCAAGAACCCAUUUAGUAGAGUCAUCACUGCAUCUCUCAGGCUCUGCAAUAUCCGGAAGCUGGAGCUGGGAAUUCAACCCAAGUAACCCAGUUGACUAAUUUUUUUUUAAUAUUUAAUUUGUUUUUGGGACACAGAGACAAAAUGAGAGACCAGAGACAAAUAAAGUACUCUCCCGUCAGCUGAUUCUUGCCCCAAAUGCCCCCAGCAGCAGGGCAGGACCAGAUCAAAACUGGAGGCAGGACUCAACCCAACAUAGAAGGAUGGCACCCAAUUAUUUGAGCCAUACCUGCUACUUUCCAAGGUCUGCAUUAGCAAUAAGUUGUAAUUGGGAGUAGAACUGGAAUUAGAGCCUAGGCACCUGGGUAUGGGAUGUCUUCAUUACAAGUAGCAGUUUAACUGCAACACUAACUUCUCACUCAUCUUUGACUGACUUUUAGAUGUUGAACCAAUCUUGCAUUUCAUGGACGGACGACAUUUGCAAUAAUAGGUUGUCUUUUUCAUUUGUUACUGAACUCUAUUGCCUGCAAAUUUCUUUAUAGAGAUUUUGCAUUUAUAUUACUGUGGAGUGUUAGCAUAUAGUUUUCUUUUCCUAGAAUAACCAUGUCAAAUUUUGAUUCAAGGUCAUUAUGACUUUAAAAAUUAGUUGGGGAAUUUUUUUAUUUAUUGAAAGAAUGUUUUAGGAUUAAUAUGAGUAUGAAUAUUAUUAAUAUUACUUCUCCCCUAAAUGUUGGGCAGAAUUUGACAGUAAUGCCAAAUUACCUUUAAUUUUUCUUUUCUUUGCAUUACAUGUAUGGUUAAAUAUGGUUACGGUUAUAUUUAAGGAUUUUAAAUAUUUCUAAGUUAAUACUUUCAAAACUAAAUCUAAUCACUAUUUUAGUCUUAACACAGUCAGUACCAUUUUGUAUUUGCUUAUGUAUUUACUAAUUCUUUUGCUCUGUCUUUAGGAACAAAGAUACUAUGAUUGUUAAAUUUCAUAAGGAAUCACACAGCUUUAGAAAAGGAAUGAGUGAGGCCAGUGCCGCGGCUCACUAGGCUAAUCCUCCACCUUGCGGCGCUGGCACCCGCACCCCGGGUUCUAGUCCCGGUCGGGGCGCCAGAUUCUGUCCCGGUUGCCCCUCUUCCAGGCCAGCUCUCUGCUGUGGCCAGGGAAUGCAGUGGAGGAUGGUCCAAGUGCUUGGGCCCUGCACCCGCAUGGGAGACCAGGAUAAGUACCUGGCUCCUGCCAUCGGAUCAGUGUGGUGCGCUGGCCGCAGCGGCCAUUGGAGGGUGAACCAGCGGCAAAAAGGAAGACCUUUCUCUCUGUUGCUCUCUCUCUCACUGUCCACUCUGUCAAAAAAAAAAAAAAAAAAAAGGAAUGAGUGAAAAUGGAUCUUCCCUGAAAUAGAGAACAUGUAUCAAAAGAAUGGAUGAGUAGACUCCAGUGAACUAAAUAAUUGUCAUUCACCAUAAAUUCAACUAGUUAGCUACAUUAGUGACUGUACAGUCUAAAAAUAGACCAUGAGAAAUUCACUGUCAAUUUGUACUCUUGUUAAUUUUUUCUUCUGGCUCAGUGUGUCACCAUAUCUUUCCUUUUGGAAUAUAAAGUUCCCUGAACUUUUCUGUUCUUCUAUAUAUUACAAAUCAUUAAUUAUCUCCAAAACAACAUUAAUUUAAAAAGAAGGUUAAGAGAUUGAUUCAUAGCAUUUGAAAAAAGCAACAGGGAAAGUUAAAUAAAACUGUGAUAUAGGAGAAUUUAAACUAAAAUCAAAAAAUAUAAGGAAAUUUGCUUACUCAAUGAGUACUUUUUUGCUGAGUUUUAUUUUACCUGUCAUUUAUAUCUUAGGCCAAACUAUAGGAUUUUCUUAUUUACAUGAAAUUAUGCUUAAUAUCCUGGCAAUAUUUUUUUCAGAAAUACUUUAUUGCGAGUACAAGGAGUUGAUGGAAAGAAAGAAGAGUUCACCUGGAAGUGAAUCCACCCCCCCCUUUUUUUUUUAGGAUAUAUUUAUUUGAAAGGCAGUUACAGAGAGGCAGAGGCAGAAAGAGAGGUCUUCCAUCCACUGGUUCACUCUCUAGAUGACCUCAACUGUGCGAGCUGUGCCCAUCUGAGCCAGGAGCCAGGAGCUUCUUCUAGGUCUCCCACGUGGGUACACGAACCCAAGGACUUGGGCCAUCUUCUGCUACUUUCCCAGGUCAUAUAGCAGAGAGCUGGAUUGGAAGUGGAGCAGCCAGAAUCCCAACUGGCACCCCUAUGGGAUGCCGGCACUUCAGGUGACAGCUUUAUCAGCUAUGCCACAGUGCUGGUCCUGGAAAUGAAUCUUUAGUCUUCCGCUUAUUCCAAGUUUUAAUCUGAUCUCUAGCCUUUAUAAGAAUGCUUGAAAUAAAGUAUUUUAUUGGUUUUAAAUUUUUAAAGUUUCAUUUUAGAAUACUUUUCACUUCCAGCCGACACCAUGGCUAACCAGGCUAAUCUUCUGCCUUUGGCCCUAGCACCCCGGGCUCUAGUCCUGGUUGGGGUGCCAAGUACUAGUCCCGGUUGCUCCUCUUCCAGUCCAGCUCUCUACUGUGGCCCCCUGGAAGGCAGUGGAGGAUGGCCUAAGUGCUUGGGUCCCUGCAACUGCCUGGGAGACUGAGAGGAAGCACCCAGCUCCUGGCUUUGGAUCUGCACAGCGCUGGCCAUGGUGGCCAUUUGGGGAGUCAACCAACAGAAGGAAGACCUUUCUCUGUCUCUCUCGAUGUCUGUAACUCUACCUGUCAAAUAAAAAAAAAAAAAAAAAGAAUUUUUUUUUAAAAGAAUAUUUUUCACUUCCAAAUAAGUUUCAGUUAGAAAGUUUUAUUUUUAGCUAUGUUUCAGGAAAUAAUCAAAUUUAACAGGCAGUAUAAUUUUAUAUAAUGUAGCUUAUAAAUAAUCAUUUCCUCACAAUGCAAAGCCAUGUAUAUGAUAAACAGGUAUUAAAUUAACAGAAUCAAAAUUCCAUUAGAUUUUCCAAGUUGAACUUAUUCACUUUAUUUGGACAAAUCAAUCUGAGCUAUAUGAUGAUUUGAAUCCAAUUUAAUUCACCACUACACAUUAGGUGAGAUUCAGUUAAUGAAUCUUAUCUGAACUCUUUAGAUAGAAAGUUCUCUCUUUGCAAUAAGAGCCAAGUACCUCUGUUAUCAUCAGGUGGAGAAGUCACCAAUGAAAUCUGAAGGUAAGAAUGAAUUUCAAAGCAACAUGCAGAAUAUUUCAAUAAAAGAGAGACUCAAAUGGAUGGGAAGAUGAAAAGAGAAAGGUUUGUUUCUGGCUUUGCCAUGGGAUAAGAGUAGAGAAAUAAUUGUGGGUCUGUUGGUGGGUAAGAAUCAUUUUGUUUUAUUUCUCAAAUUUGCCUUUAAUUUCCUAAACUUGCAUAAUUUAGGCUUACUUAUUUUUAACUGUGGACAAAAAUUGAUUUUGGUAAAUUGCUUGAAAGAAGCUUUUAUGUAUCACAUGGGGAACAUGUUAUUAUCUGAAGAAAUUGAAUACUAUGUUAGGUAUCAUAAAAGUAAUAACAUUAAACAUUAAACUUUAGGAUUUAUUAAAUGGUGAGUUGAUUAAUAAGAACUAGAUUUUUGUGUCAUUUAGAAUGAAUGAUUUGUGUACGGUGCUCAAGGCCACAUGCCAUUUCUUUUCUAUAUAUUUCAUAAAUUCUUCUACCAUAGCCAUCAGCAAACGGAGCUACAUUUAUUAUUUUUCUAAGGUUUUCUAUUCAAUUAUCCAUCUCUAAUUUUUAUACCAUUUCCUAUGUCAUUUCAAAGUGAACAUAAAAAAUGCCCAAAAUGAAUGACUUUUUAUUUUGCAUCUCAGAUAUCAUACUCUAAUCAUUUCAAACAAUAGUUCCUAACCUUUGAUACAUUGACAUUUAAAAAAAAAAACUCUUAAUGAUUUACAUCACUCUGAUUAUCUUGUUUAAUAUUUCUUUUUUAUUUUCCAAUUUCUCCAUUUGAUGUUUCCCAGAUUCCCAAAACACACUCAGCUUUACCAUAUUUGAGACUGCCCCAAAGCCCUGUACAUUGCUCAUGAGGGUUGGCGAAUACAACUAAUAAUUAAAAAACAAGCAUGAACUUUGAAUAUAGAUAUCCAGGCUUGCCCCUUUUUAAAAUUAAGCCAUCAUAAACUACUUACCCUUUCUGAUCUUUAGCCUACUAGUUAAUAAAAUGGAAUACUGUCUACUUCAUGUUCUUGUAUGGUUUGGAAUAAUCUGUGUAAAAAUUCCAGUAGAUUAUAACUGGCAUUGCAUAAGUGCUCAAUAAUUGAAAAUAAGUAUUAUCUGUUUACCAACUUUGCUGAUAAGUUGCAUGUAGAGUCUUCUUUUUUCCUUCUUGGGAAUAAAGACCUCUUGCUUGUAUCCCUCCUGCAGAGACAGGGAUGUUUUUGUGCUUGUGUACCUCCUAGGAUGACUCUGGCUGGUGUCCAAUGUUGACCAUGAUGUGUUCAAGCAAAACCUGGAGGGCUGUGGAAAAGGGCUAAUAGGAAGGUCUGGUCUGAACUGAUUCUAAACUGUUCUGUUAUGCCAUAAUCAAGAGUCAGAGAUUUCGCUACCUUAUUCUGUUUCAUGGUGGCUAUUUCUUUUUCCAAUAUUCUUCUAGAUUUCAUUAUGUAUCCAUCUUUUAUUAUUUUUAAAACAAAUCUCCAAUCAUGCAUAUACACGUAUAUUGCCUUUCUGAAUUCUGUGAGGUAUGUUUGUAAAUCAUUGAUGGGUGUGUGGAAAUUCCUGAAUGUGUAGCCAGUUGAUCACAGUAUGGAUGGCUUGGAAACCCUCAAAUUUAUGUUUGGCAUCUGAAUUGCGGACCAUAUAUUCGGGAAUGUGCCUUCAUUUAUGCAGUCUGUCCUGAAUCCAGGAAGUUUGUUUCAGAAUUUUCAUAAUUACUAAAUUUUAGCAGAAAUAUAGGGCUUCUAGUCCAUAUUCCAGUCCUUAUAUACUUGUAAGCCUCAUAAUUUUUCAUCCAAAAAUUGUUUCAUAUGAGAAUCAAAUGAGCAAAAAGUGCUUAAAGCCCUUGAAAUAUGAGACCUUUAGUAUGCUUUGAAUGAAUUGGCAAUAUCUUUUUUUAAUAAUUAGCACGACUUACAUCUUGAGAAAUUUCAAUCCCCAUGUACAUCCGUAACAUGCAAGAUUGACCAUAUAGACAACAACAUGGCGGUUUGCUCUAGUCAUCUGUUUGGUAAAGGCUGAGCUGAUCUGAAGACAGAGUUUAAACUCUUUGGAGCUUUAUGCACUAAUAAUCCACAUUAUUAGACAUUACAUGGAAAAUUAUGUGAGUGAAUAAAAUAAAAUGUUUCUUAGAUUGAUAAAGCUAAUGAAACAGAAGUAUACAUUAUUCUCUAUGAAACAGUACAAGGAAAGAACAAAGAAAUAGAAGACCAUCACUAGAGCACAGUAAAGAUUUCCAUGAGGUAGAUCUACAAACAGUUGCUAAACUUGUACAAAUGUUUAAGCAGAAAAAUGUUUUUUUCUCAAGGACCUUCACCAAGUGGGAUGAUUUCUAGAUGCAAAGUGGGAUUGAAGACUAGCUCUUGGUAUAGAGAGAGGACACUAAUGCAAAACUGAUGAAGUUCCAAAGAAUUCUGCUGUUUACCCAAUCAUAUCAUACAGAGGUUGAUCUCCUUGUUUAGUAACUGUUCUAGGAUUUUUUGAGAUAUUGAUACAGGAAAGGAUGGUUGAGGACAGUGCAAGAAUUCUGUGUUAUUGUUGGAACACUGUGUAUUUCCAAAAAGUCUUAAAAUUGAAAAGUUAAAGAAAAACAUAACUCAUUGCUAUUGCCAGAGCCUCAUUCUGGGAGAAGAGGAUUGAGUUCAAAAGAGAAAAGGGAACUUUUUGGAGUGCUGAAGUUGGUAUAUGUGAAUAUAUUUACUGUGAUGAUAAUCAUAUGACUGUAUUUGUUUUUUAAAUAUUCAGCAUAGCAUAUACUCAAUUAGGUUCAGUUAUAUUUAAACUGUAAUAACAAAGAUGCAUUUUUGUGUUUAAUGUAUAUGGAUUACAAGGUAAAUUAAUUUUUCAUUAUUAUUAUUUUUUAAACAUUAUUUAUCUACCUAUUUGAGAGGCAAAGUUACAGACAGAAAAAUUUUCCAUCUGCUGGUUCACUUCCCAAAUCCCACAAUGGCUGGAGCUGGAAUGAUCCAAAGCCAGGAGCCAGGAACUUCUUCCAGGUCUCUCAUGAAGGCAAAGGAGCCCAACCACUUAGGCCAACUUUCACUUCUUUCCCAGGCCAUAAGCAGAGAACUGGAUUGGAAGAAGAAUAGCCAGAGCAUAAACUGGUGCCCAGGCACCACAGGCGGAGGCUUUGCUUACUAUUCCACAGUGCCAGCUUUGGUAAAAUGCAUUUUUUUAAUUUACAUGUUACAUUAAUCUGAUAGCUUGCAAUGACUUAUUCUAUUUUAAAACCAAUUAAUGUGUUUAUAUGCUAUUUUAAUUUAUUCAAUUUAGCGAUUCUCCCAAAAUUUAGAAUAAUAUGCACUGAACUAAUAUCUUGCAGGUUAAUUGAGCACAGAUUCUGAAAAAAAAAUUGCCAUUAUAUGUCUUGUUUUUUUGUGUUUUGUGUCAUUAUCAUGCCUUAGACCCAGAAAUUAACUUUAUUCAUUUAAUCUUAAUAUAGUGAUAGCAAAAAUAGAUUAGAAUUACUGCAUUUCUCACAAGGAAUCAGGUGUCGCAUUUAAACAGUUUCAUGGAAUAUUUUAUUUAAUUGUCAGAACAAUUAUGGGAGUUGUAUAUUAUCACUACUAAUUCAGAGUUUAGCAAAUUAUGGUUCAUAGAAAUUAUAUAAAUCAACAAAUUAACUCAAGUAGCAUGUGCUGAAGCCUAGGUAUAACCCAGAGUGUGAUAUUGCAUUCACGAGCACUGUUACACUGAUCACACUCCAGUUUGUUUUUCACUGUGUUGUAAAAUGUGGGAUCAUUUCUCAAGCUAAUUUAGUCCUUCUCCCACAUUAUACAAUAAACAUAAAGAAUAAAAUGUCAAAUACCUGUUUAUUGACUAUCAAAUCUAAAACCGCACUUGAUGAAAAAAAAAAGAAUUUAACUUUUUUUUCUUAUUUUUACAAGUGAUCCCUAAUUACAAAAGCGUUACUUGCUAAUUAAGUAUUUUAUUACUGGAUUAGAAAUGCUCUGUGGUUUGAAGGGAGAUAGUACACAGCAUGUUCAAAUCAACAAAGGACAUGAGAUUCUUUUUUUCUUUCUUAUGUUUCAGGCUUUAAUAAUGUCUACCCUCAUAUACAAUAGUUACAUCUUAGCUUUUGUACAAAGAUAACAUUGGAAAGAGAAAUAAAAUUAUAAGGAAAAAUGUUUAAAAUAAUAUCACAACUUUUAAUGAUUUCAAAAGAAAGACUUACAAAGCUUAAAUAAGCCCCUUGUGUUAGCAAAUUGAAAUAGUUAAUAUUUAUGUGGGAGGAUGUAAGAUAAUAUUACUUUAGGCAUUUUUAAUGCUACUUUAACAUUUAUGGAAUGUCAAAAAUCUUCAAGACCAGUGUAAAUCCCAAAAUGUUUAUAUAGUUUAAGACAGUAAUGGGCUUUCCAGAACAUAAAACUACUAAGUGUAUGUAAAAAAUGUUUCUACUUAUUAUAAUGUAGUAUGCGUAACAUGUUAGUUAAAAAAUAGAAUUCUAGCCACUUUUUCCUUCAUUUGUAUCCUUUUCCCUCUGUUUGAAAGUUGAGUUUUUAUGGUACAGAUCUAAUAUCUCUCCCUCUGUCACACUUAUCUAGCACAAUUCCAACUCAGGUUAUACCCAAUUAUCUGUCUAUUUCAUGCCUCCACCCAAGCAGUUGAUUGCAGCUGGAGCAAAUCUCUUAACUGAUUAGCUUUUCUCAACCUUCAUGGUAAAAACAGAUGUCAAUCAAAAAUUCCUGCUGGGAUUGAAAUCUAACCUCUUCACUUUCACUCUGGAUUCAAUCCACAUUUAUUUUAUCUAGAGUUUAUGUAUCUUGUCUCUCUAUAUCUGAUUCCCUGCUUCUCUUUUUCUAUCCAGUAAUGUUUUCCACCUCCCUUUUUUAAAACUUGGUAGUGAAUCCUAGGUCUUUAUCUUUUGAGAAAAUUUAAUUAAUUUUAUCACUUUUUUGAGUCCUAGGUAGACCUUUUCAAACCUUUUGUUUCAACAAUCUUCUCUGGAAUUUUGUAAUGGUAUAUCAUAUAAACAUGUUCUCUCUAUUUACAAAAAAAAAGGACCUCGACAAUGAUAUCCUUUCAUCAAAGUACCAAUGUUGCCUUUAGUAUAAAUUUUCAUUAUUAAUAUUAAAGUGAUAAUUUUAAACCAUUGAUCUAUUAUUUUCCUUUGAAAUACUUUGUCAACUUUAAAUACUCAGAUUCUUUGUGUUAGUCAUAAUAUGAGUGUAGUGUAUAAAGGUAUAAUUUUCCUUAAAUUUAAUUCUCUUUGUGCUUAGUAUACUCCAUGAAUCUGUUGGUAGUGUUAUGUAUCAAUUUUGGAAAUGUUUCAUUUAAUGAUUUUUUUUUCUGCUAUUCUGCCAAAUUUUUGUCUUUCUCAUUUGAAUUCGAACUGCAAAUAUAUUAAAUUUUAAAAUUUCAUCCUCUAUUAUUUUCUUUUUUUAGAUUUAUUUAUUUAUUUGGAAGUCAGAGUUACAGCAAGAUGGGGAGAAACAGAAAGAGGAGAGAGACCCUCCAUCUGCUGGUUCACUCCCCAAAUGGCCACAAUGACCAGGGCUGGGCCAGGUGGAAGCCAGGAGCUAGGAGUUUUAUCUAGUACUUCCAUGUGGAUGUAGUGGCCCAAGCAUUUUAGGCCAUCCUCUGCUGCAUUCCCAGGCAUGUUAUCAGGCAGCUGAAUCGGAAUUGGAGGAGCUGGGAUUUGAACCGGUACCUAUAUGGAAUGCCAGCACUGCAGACUGCGACUUAACCCACCGUGCUACAGCACCAGCCCCAUCUACUAUUACUUUCUGUUUUUUAUGUUCUCACUACAUAAAAUUAAACGUUGUCUGUGUACCUCCAUUUAAUUAAUCAGUUACCAAUUUUCUGCUCUGUAGUGAGUCCAAUGCAUUUUUUAUUUUAAAUAUGAUCUCAUUUAAUUCUAAAAUAUUGUUUAUAGUUUUAAAUCAGCAUUCUAUAGAUUUUCAGAUAUAAAUGUUUGAACAUAAUAAUCCUAAUAUUUGACAACUCUGUAUCUGUGCCAAUGUGUUUCUUUCCCUUUUUAUGUUUAAUCACCUUUUUUUUGAGACAGGCAGAGUGGACAGUGAGAGAGAGAGACAGAGAGAAAGGUCUUCCUUUUCCGUUGGUUCACCCCCCAAUGACCACCGCAGCCUGCGCGCUGCAGCCGGUGCACUGUGCUGAUCUGAAGCCAGGAGUCAGGUGCUUCUUCUGGUCUCCCAUGGGGUGCAGGGCCCAAAUACUUGGGCCAUGCUCCACUGCACUCCCAGGCCAUAGCAGAGAGCUGGCCUGGAAGAGGGGCAACCGGGACUAGAACCCAGUGUGCCGGCGCAGCAGGUGGAGGAUUAGCCUAUUGAGCCGCGGUGCCGGCCUGUUUAAUCACUUUUUUCAUGCCUUAUAAGUUUAUUUCCAGAGCUGGUUGAUAUACUGGAAGAUGUCUUCAAUUGCUGGUCAAAAUCCUCUUUCAAAAAAUUAAAUUUUCUUUUGCUACACAUAUAGAGUUCUAAUAGAUGAUGCUGAAUGUAUUGAGGACUACAUUUGGGAUUUGCUGAAGCCAGCACUUUUCAGAUUUAGCCAUACCUACUGGAGAAAUCAUUAGUCUUGAUGUAGUACUGGGCCUCCUGGAUCUGCACAUAUAAAUUAAAUGAAAUUUGUUCUCUUAGUGUAACUUUUUCUGGUUUUGGAAUUAAGGUGGUACUGGCCUCAUAGGAGGCAUUUAGUAGGAUUCUCUCCUUUCAAUUGUUUUGAAUAGUUUGAGAAGAAUUAUAAUUAUUUUCUCUUUAAAACCUUGGUAGAAUUUAGCAGUGAAGCUAUCUGGCCCUGGGCUUUUCUUUGUUUGGAGGGUCUUUACUAAUGAUUCACUCUCUUGGUUAUUGAUCUAUUUACAUUUUCUAUGUCUCCAUGACUCAAUUUUGAUAAGUUGUAUAUGUCUAGAAAUUCUUCCAUUUCGUCUAGCUUUUCCAAUUUGUUGGAAUAUAGCUCUUUAUAGCGAUGCGUAAUGAUUCCUUUAUAUUUCUGGUGUACUCAUUGUAAAAUCUCCUUUUGUAUGUCUGGUUUUAUUAAUUAGGAUCUUUUUUUUUUUUCUUUGGUUCGUUGGGCCAAUGGUGCAUCAGUUUUUUUUUUUUUUUUCCAAAAAAAGCUUUUCAUAAGCUUUUCAUUUCACUGAUCUUUUGUGUCACUUUUUGUUUUAUUUUCAGUUUUGUAUAUUUCGUCUCUAAAUUAAUUGUUUCCUCCUACUCAUUUUGGGUUUGUUUUGUCCUUGAAAUGCCUUUUUUAUCAUUUGUUUGAUGUCUUUACAAUAUCUUGAUGUAGGAACUAUUUGUUAUAAAAUCCUCUCUUUGCUCUGCUUUUGCUGUAUCCUAUAAGUUUUGGUAUGUGUGUUGUCAUCUUCAUUCAUUUCCAGGAUUUUUUUAAUUUCUCUUUUGAUUUUUUCUAUGACCGACUAUUCAUUCAGAAGCAUGUUGUUCACUUUUAAUGUGUUUGCUUAUUUUCUAGACUUUUUUAACUAGCUAGUUUCCAGCUUAAUUCAAUUGUAAUCAGCAAAUAUACAUGAUAUGAUUUUAAAUUUUUCUGAAUUUGUUGAGACUUGCUUUACGGCCUAAUAUAUGGUUUAUCCUAGAGAAAGUUCUAUGCACUGAUGAAGAGAAUAUGUUUCUGCAACUGCCUCUUUGAACAGAAACUGCUUUUUUCAGAUCAAACUUCUAACCUUGUAACUUCAUUUAAGGAUAAUUACUUUCUUAGAAACUGCUACUAUAAACACAUUGGAAUUUAUGGCUUCCGCAUGGGAAUUUAGGGAGGUAUACAUCAUUUCAUUAAUAGAUGCCAUAUUUAAAAAGGUCACAUACUUCAGUUUAGGUAACACAUUAACUGUUUCUGAUACAUUGCCAUUGCAAUUUGUUCUGUUUUCCAUUAGGAUAGUUGUGUAUUUAGACAAUAGAUAGUAAUAUAUUCUUUUACUCUGUUUUCUAGAAUAAGAGUUUAACUCUAUUAGCAUUGUACAAUUAUAAGUAUAGUCUGCUUUUAAUUUCUUUAGGUAGCAAUAUCAAAAGAAAUUUGAAAAUUGGCCAGCGCCGCAGCUCACUAGGCUAAUCCUCCACCUGUGGUGCCGGCACACCGGGUUCUAGUCCCGGUUGGGGUGCCGGAUUCUGUCCCGGUUGCUCCUCUUCCAGGCCAGCCCUCUGCUGUGUCCAGGGAGUGCAGAGGAGGUAUGAUUUCCAUCUUUUAAAAUGUAGUAUAACUUGAUUUGUAACCUAAUAUAUGGUGUAUCCUAGAAAACAUUUCAUGUGUUGAUGAGAAGAAUGUGUAUUUUGUAGCUGUUGGAUGAAAUGUCCUGUAAAUGUCCAUUAUGUUCAUUUGUUCAAUAGUAUGUUUCAAUGUUUCAAUUCUGAUAUGUCUUUAUUGAUAUUCUGUCUUGAUGAUCUUCCCUUUGAUGACAGUGGGGUAUUGAAAGUACCCAUUAUUAUUGUAUUGGAGUUUAUUUCUCCCUUUAAAGGUCUAAUAGUAUUUGCUAUAUUUGUAUGGGUGAUUUUGUGUUGGAUGCAUAUAUUUAUGAUUGCUAUGUCUUCAUGCUAAAUUGAUUUUUAAUACAUAAUGUCUUUUCUUUGUGUCUUUUUAUAGUUUCUGAUUUUAAAUGUUUUAUAUGAGAUGAGUAUAGCUAUCCUGCUCAUUUUUUAUUUUCAUUUACCUGGUAUACAUUUUUCCAGCCUUUCAGUUUCAGUGUGUAUAUAUCUUUAUUUGUGAAGUGAGUUUCUUGUAGGCAGCAUAUAGUGGGGUCUUGGAUAUUUAUCUAUUCAAAUAACCUAAUUUUUUAAAAUGGAGAAUUUAAACCAUUUCCAUUCAAGGUUGGUACUGAUAGGUAACAAUUAACACCUGUCAUUUUAUUGAUCGGUUACUGAUUAUACUUGCUCUGUUAGUGAAUUUGGUAGUGUCUUGUGUUUUCAUGCUUACUUUUUUUUUUAAAAAAAAUCUGUCAUGUGCUCUGGAUGGAUAUAAUUAAAUAAUUAAGGCCACAGAGAUAUUGUAAAUAUACGUAAAGAUAUGAAAAACAUAGCAUUCAAGUUUGAAAUUACAUAUUUCAACAUUUAUUUCAAGUGCACACAUAUACUUUCUUCUUUUUUAUGUAUAUGUAUAUUAUAAAUACAACAUUAGGAACACAGCAAUUCCUCCCACAGAACCUGCUCUCCUCCACACCCUCCCCCUUCUCAGUCCAAGAAAUAAAAGAAAAAAAGAAAGAGAAAAAGAAUGUGUGUAAUAAAAAACCCAAGAGAACUAUUCCUCAACAGUCCAGACAAGGGUCACUCAAUGUUAUUGAUUCUCAAAGGGCAGAUCUGUGGACCCAAAGACUCCCCUCUCACCUGGUCUGUCGGGGCCAGCACUCUGCUCCCUGGGUAAAAGACUCUGCUGUUCUUUUUUUUUAAUUUUUUCUUAUUUGCUGUUAGCAUGGACCUGGACCAUCUCUGCUGUUCUUGCUGGUUUCCUGCUAAGAAUUCCCCAUGGCUUUAUCUAAGGCAUGUAUUUUCUCCCUUUUUUACAUAUUAAUUUUGCCCUGCGUGAUUCAGAUCUCCCUGUCACUAUUCUGCCAUCUUGGAUCCCUCCUCCCACCCUCAUUUUUACUUCUAAUGUUAGAUUUCCUUAAGAUUGUAAAGGUGGUCUGGUGGCAGUGAAUUCUCUCAGGUUUUGUUUAUUUUGAGAAUAACAUGUCUCUAUCACUUCUGAAGUGGAAUAUUAGUCAGCUAUAAAAGUGAAUGGCAUUCUGCUAUUUGCCACAAAAUGGAUGUCACUGGAGGACAUCAUGCCGAGUGAAAUAACUGAGACAGAAAGACAAAUAUUGCAUGUUUUCCCUUAUAUGUAAGACCUAAAGUUAAAAAAAAAUUAAAAAAUCAUAUGUGUAUCAUAUAAUAGCUUUGUCACAUUUUGUUUUAUAUUGAGAUUUGAUUAUCGUUUUUAGUCCUUCUCUAUGCUCCCAAGGAACAGUGGUUUUCCUACCUUUACUUAUUGAUUCCUUUAUUAAGUGGAGGGUUAAGCUUCUGAUUAUAAAGUAAAUUGAACCUGUGUCUUUGCAAAAAUUAAAAGAAAAAGAAGAAGGAGGAUAGAAGGUAGAAGAACAGAGGGAAGGAAAGGAGGCUGAUAUGUAUUGUUAUGUUCUUGAAACUGUUUAUACGAAAUACAUAAAAUUUUUUCCUGUUAUGUAAAUAAAAAAUAAGUGAAAGAUUAAAAAUAAAAACAGAAUAGAAAUGUCAAAAAAAUUGCCAAACCUCAUCAAAAUUUACUUCUUUAUGUAUUUUUCUAUGUAUAGGUAUAUAAAAUGCAAACAAACAUUUGUUCGAACAGCAAUUAAUAUGAAAUAGCAUCUAAAAGAAGUGAAAAUGAAAAACAGGUAGCACGAGAAUGCAUUUAUUGUGAACCUUGAAAUCUAACCAUUGUACAAAUAAAUCUAAUGAACCAUUUUUUUGAAAAUGUCCCUGGGUUUUGUUUUCAUUAGGGGAGUUAUACAUACAGAGCUGGAGAUCUCAAAGGAAGAAGCCUUUAGCCAUAGUUUCCUGGAAGCAGGUCACAUUGCACAGAAGUUCUCAGAGCGCAGGGUCAGUCAGGAGACAGACAGGGAAAAACUGUAGGAGAGCUUUUUCUGUGGUUCUGGUACCAAAGAACAGUCAGAUAGAGACAGGGCAACCCAGAUAAACUGGUUUAGGAUGGGCUGAUUUGAGUGAUUUCUUUGGCUGCAGGUUGUGGGAGCUGUCCUAAGUUGUCUCGGACCUGGCACUAGGGUGAUCAGGAGAGAGGAUUAGUAGUAGAGAGUUUAAGUGCCCUGUGAAGGAGACAAAAUGGACUGCUGGGGUGACAGAGGUUGUGUAUUGAUUGUUCUGCACGGAAAACAGCACAUGUGCAGUAGAAUACUUAACUAUCUCCAAGAAUUAGCUAGCUCUGGAACAAACUCUCCUUGGUGUGCAAGACCCCAGGAUGUCAAAGCAGUAUAAAUUUUAGGGAAAAAAAAACAUAGUUAAUACAGCUGUUUUACCAUGUAUAAUGCCUUGUUUUUCCUAACAGAAGCAUCUGAGUAUAUUAAAACUGAUAUAAGUCAUAUCAGCUGCUCUUAUGCAAAGUUUCAAAACACCAGUCAAGUUCUUGGAUUAUAGCUCUGCGGUCUGAGAAAAAUCAUUCCUAAUAUACAUUGACAGCACUAGGGAAAUGUAACCAAAAGCAGGGUGAAAGAUAUUUGGAUAUCUGACAUGAGCCAGUCAGUUGUGAGAAAACAAGGAACAAAGGGAAAUGCCCUCUUCAAGUGAUUGGGAUCCUUGAACCUCAUGUUAUUUAUGUUCUAUGAAAAAGACAGGAAAAGAGUCUCAUAAAUGUGAAUUCACUUUUCCAUGAAUAGAGAUUAAAAACUUCAAUGGGGCAUGUUCCUUGACCAGUGCCUUGUAUUUAUGCAGAAAAAUGACCCCAUAAUACCCAGUGAGGAAAUCAAAGAGAAAUAUUAAACUUAACGUAGAGUCACAAAAAUAUUUGCUAACAGACUAACUUCAUAGGAGAGACCUAGGUGCUGCAUUGCUGGUUUGGUUGAGAAGCCAGGUUAGCGAUCCUGCCUUCCUUGUCACCCAAAUCAAGUAGUCAUUGGGUCACUGAGUUACUUCCUUGUCAUUCAUGUUUCAACUACCAUCCAUUAAAGAGAGACCGUGGUUUCUGUGUACUUGAUGGAAAGCUUGUGUCAUUUUGGUGGCUGUUUGCAGAGAAUCAAUACUGGAACCCUAAAGAACAAGAUACAAAAACUCCUUUGUGAACCAUAUGGAACAAGGAAUAACAGGCUUGGAAUAAGGUCGAAGAAUAUACUCUUUCAUGUCUUCCUUCUCUUCCCCAGAGGUCUAUUCCAUCCAUACAUUCUUAUUGAAUAUUUUUGGAGUAUGAAAGCUGACCAAUGCUCUACCUAGGCUCUUCAGUCUGACUCUCAACGGGAAAUGUCUCCAAACUCCUAAGAAGCACCUCUUAAACUUAAGCAUGUGAUUUUGUUUGAGUAAUUGCUUAGAGAUGACAGAGGCAAUUGAACAUGGGAUUGUCCUUGAAUCCUUCGGUGGUGACCUCUCUUCUGAACAUCCUAUUCCUGUAUGCAGAAGAAAGCACAAGUCCACCAUGUUCACCUAACUUGUGGGGCCACAAGAUUCUGGACUUUGAAACUCUAGAAUUGCAGAGUGGACAGUGAGAGAGAGAGAGACAGAGAGAAAGGUCUUCCUUUGCCGUUGGUUCACCCUCCAAUGGCCGCCGCGGCCAGCGCGCUGCGGCCGGCGUACCGCACUGAUCCGAUGGCAGGAGCCAGGUACUUCUCCUGGUCUCCCAUAUGCUAUUUUAAAUACUCCUAAAAUAAUAUCUUGGUAGAGUAACUAUUCUGCAUAUUUAGAAUAUUGUUGGAGCUCAACUUUCUUCCUUCUUGAAUUUUGAAUGUGUAAGGCAAGUAAUGUAUUACUUUCAGUUGAAAGGUAAGCAAUGUAAAAGACACAUGGAGCAAUGUUACACUUUAACAAUAAUUUAAAAGUGUGAUGUACAACAUAUUCUUCACUUAAUUCUCAUAAUAACCAGAAAAUGUGAAUAUAAUCUACAGACCACAAAAACUGAGACUGUGAUUUAAUCACAUGUUUUUCUUUUAAAUGAUUUUCUCGGUCAUUCCAAUGUUACUUGUAACUGAAUAAUUUUUAUUACAGCAUAUUGUCUACUUUAAAAUGGCCUUUAUCACAUCCAUUGAAAUAAGUCAGUUUUGUGGCAACUCCUUACUUCAUAACAUUUGGGAGAAAAGGUGUGAAAAACUACAGCCUACUUUGAAUAUCUGUUUUUAACACAGCAGUCUUGUUUAAAUGGUAAUUCAUAUGACCUUUAUCACAGGUCACUCACAGUCUGACCAGGUGAACUAUAUAUAUACCCACUGAUUUCUGUUGUAAAUAUUCUGUGUGGAUAGAUGAAGGUGAGAUAGAGAGUAGUGACUGUAGAUGGAUAAGGAUCUCUCUGUGGCAUAUCAUGUUAUAAUUUUUUCCCCAGAGAUUAAGAUCUGGCCAUGGCAACCAUUUGGGGAGUGAACCAGCAAAUGGAAGAUAUCUCACCUCUCUCUGUAUCUCUGACUUUCAAAUAAAUACAUAAAUCCUUAAAAUAAAAAAAAAAAACUCCAAUUUAGAGAAAAAUCUAUUCAAAUGAUUUUGCCUCUCCCCUCCAUUUCAAAGGUGAUUUCUUUGUUAUUAGUUGUUGAGUUAUGCGAGUCUUCAUAUUCUGCUUCAUAUUCUGCAUGAUAGUUCCUUCUCAGAUAUGUGAUAUGUGAAUUUUGUCUCAGCAUGUGAGUUAGUUUUUUCCAUUAUUCACAAUGUGCAUUGAAAUAUAAGAGGUUUUAUUUUUGUGAUGCCAAAUUCACAUUCCUUUUCUUUUUAAAUUUGUGCUUUUAAAGUCUUAUUGAAGAAACCAUUGUCUAAGUAAAUGUCACUAAGAUAUACUCAAUCUUUUUCUUCUAAGAGUUUUAUAGUUGUAGUUUUUACUUUUAUGCCUAUGAUCUAUUUGGAUUAAUUUUGCAGAUGAUAUCAUGUAGAAGUCCAAAUUCAGUCUUUGAAGGUGAUUUUCCAGUUGUCUUGUUCUUGGGUUGCAAAAUCUUAAAAUCGAUUAGGAAAAUGUAUGACCUAUCAAAAUGAUAUUGAAUUAAAUUAAUUUAAACCCUAUUUCUCUCCUAAAAUUUCAUGAGAUGCAUCAAAGCAUUUGAUAGCUUAAUAGGAAAAUGCCAGGGAGGCAUAAUAUCCACCUCUUCAAGAUAGAUGCUCCUUACCUGAAGUGUCUAUUUCCAUGGAACACUGCAAAAUGGUAUGGGCAUCUCAAGCAUGAAGUGGCUUUGGGGAAGUCAAUAAUUUAGAAUGUCAGCUCCACAGAAUUCAGCUGCCUUUGAAAUAGAAUGGUUUGAUCACACAUUUACACUUUCAAAUUGGAAAGCCCAAGAAAGCCCUAUCAGCCAGAACACUGCCAGAGGAUCUUACAGCCAAAUAUCAAUAUAUUAUAUCAAUAUCAAUAUAAUAACACAAAUAGUUUCCUAGGAUGCACUUUCAGCCUCCUUGGAAAACAGGUAUACUUUUGUUAGAAUCUGCCAUGGAAUUCAUGGUUCAAUCACACUCUCCACCAGGAUCUCUUAUACCCCACAAGCCUGUCAUUUUUCACCAGCCAAUUUCUAUUUUAAUUCUCAGUUUAAAUGUCAGUUCCUCAAACAAGUGCUUCCAUAAUGGCUCAAUUUUACUAAACUUAUAUGUGAUUUUUACUUAAGAAUAUUUUAUAGUAGCCUAUUAUUUGCCUUGAAAUGACACAUUGACAUGUUGAAAAUAUUUAUAAAAGCUAGAACUGAAACACAAGUAGGCUCAACGACUGGGAAGUCAAAUGCUUUGCUUAAACCUCAGGUGCAUCACAUACUACUCAUGUGAUCAUAGUCAUGGUAGUUAGCUGUUCCUCAAUUUCUUCAUUCUAUAAAAUGGGAAACAUUGUUAACUUAGAUAAAUACAGAGUAAAGGAAGCAGUGCAUUGCCUGUAUAUAACUACUAGCAAUCAAUAUUAUGUUCAUUCCUUCUUUUUUUUAUAUUUUCUACUUUUCUAUAGGUUCCACAAGGGAAAUAUACAUGCUUUUUUGUGUUCUGUGAUUGGUGCCUAUCACACUCCUUGAUAUAUAAGAGGUGUUCAAAUUAUUUAUUGGUGUUAUUGAGUAUGGCAUAUUCAAAAUUGGUUGGUGCUAUGGAGAUCUGAGAUCUCAUCUUUUGUUAUAGUUAGAUAAUCACUCAUCUUAUGUAUAUUUUCCCACCUUUUAUCAUUUAGCUUUAGUCAAUUUUUAAAAUAUAAUCAUGGUUACCAUGAUGUUUUCAUUUCUUUUUUUUUUUUUGCUUAAAUUAUACCUUUAAGCAGAAGUUCUAUAUUGAUUAUCUACUUGCUCAAGGACAGAGUAGACAGAGAAUGUAGAAAAUAGGGUGUGAGCAAGUCACUUUCAGAAUGUGUGCUCAUAACAUUCCAUUCCCCUGUGGGGAGCAGCCCGGACUGGACUGAGUUACUGGAAUUAAGACUUAUUCUAUGCAUCUGCUCUCCCACAAUAUGGCGCUGGGAGAGAAGUAAACAGCUUCCGCACAGCUGCCUCCAGUUCAACCAAUAAACUGUAGGACUUGCUACUGAUUGGAGGAGAGCAGCGUGCUCGGCGUGUGGGCAGCCGAGUUGGGAUUGGCGGAGGAGGACUAUAAAGGAGGAGAGAGACGGCAUGCACCAGGAACAUCUAUGGGGAACAUCUAGCUGAAGGAACACCUGUGCAGCCCCCAAGAAGAGCCGGCCGGCGGUGUGCCGCUCCCCUGCGGAAGUGGGGAUGUGGCCAGGGGGAACUGCCCUUCCACGGAGGUGGAAGGGAUAGUAGCCAACCCGGGAAGAACCAGCAGCAAACCCGGGGAAGGCCGAGCAGACGAAAGAACAGCGCAGGGUCCUGUGUCGUUCCUCCACGAAGAGGGGGAGCGACAUUCCCCUCCUGCUUAAUCACCUGGGGACAUAUUUUUGUACUAUCCCACAACUCCCAAACCAGUUCCAUGUGAGCAGAAUGUUUGCAAGGUUCAAGUGUAGUCCCUUAUGUUUCAAGAUUGUAUGAGUAUCUUCAAAAAGUUCAUGGAUAAUGUGGACACUAUGAGAAACAGUGACUUGAUCAGCUCUUGUCCUGAUGGUUGAUGUACAAUGUAAUACUUUAUCCAUUUUAGUAUUUUUUUUUAUGUUCUAGUCCCAUUGGUUGAACUCUGUAAUUAAUAUACAAUUAUUCUUAGGUGUUUAAAUUUUAACUGAAAAGUGAUCCCUGUUAGGAAUUUGGAAAACAUUAUGCUGAGUGAAAUAAGCCAAUCCCAAAGGGACAAAUACCACUUGUUCUCCUUGAUAGGUGACAACUAACUGAGCACCAAAAAGGAAACCUGUUAAAGUGAAAUGAACACUAUGAGAAACGGUGACUUGAUCAGCCCUCACCCUAACUGUUGAUGAGCAACUUGAUAUGUUAUCUCUCUUAGUAUUUUUUUUUGUUUGUUCUACUUAAUACUUUUGGUUGAAUACUGUAAUAAAUACAUAAUUCUUCUUAAGUGCUGAAACUUAACUGAAAAGUGAUCGCUGUCAAAUGUAAGAGUGGGAAUAAGAGAGGGAAGAGAUGUGCAAUUCGGGACAUGCUCAAGCUGACUUACCUCAAAUGGUAGAGUUAGAAACAUACCAGGGGACUCGAAUUCAAUCCCAUCAAGGUGGCAUGUACCAAUGCCAUCUCAUUAGUCCCAGUGAUCAACUUCUGUUCACAAUUGAUCAUAAGGAUAGGACUAAGAACCAAAGGGAUCACAUAAACAAGAAUAGUGGCUGCAAAUACUAGCUGAUAGAAUCAAAAAGGGAGAGAAUGAUCCAACAUGGGAAGUGAUAUACACAGCAGACCCAUAGAAUGGCAGAUGUCCUAAAUAGCACUCUGGCCUCAGAAUCAGCCCUUAAGGCAUGGGGAUCUGGCUGAAAUGCCCAUGAGAGUAUUUCAGGCAUGGAAAGCCAAGACACUCUGGGGAAAAAAGAAAAAGAAAAAAAAAAAAAAACCUAAAUGAAAGAUCUCUGUGAGUGAGAUCCCCGUGGAUCAAAGAAGGAGGUACCUUUCUCUGAAAGGAGGAGAGAACUUCCACUUUGACCAUGGCCUUGUCUAAAAAUUAUCAGAGUCAGUGAACUUAUGGGGCUUCCAUAGCCUUGGCAGCUCAUGACAAGAGCCUAGGGUGAUUACUGAGGCCAUAAACAAGAGUGUCCAUUUGUUAAGUCAACAACAGGAGUCACUGUGCACUUACUCCUCAUGUAGGAUCUUUGUCCUUAGUGUGUUGUACAUUGAGAUUUAAUGCUAUAACUAGUACUCAAACAGUAUUGUUCACUUUAUGUUUCUGUGUGGGAGCAAACUGUUGAAAUCUUUACUUAAUGUAUGCUAAACUGAUCUUCUGUAUAUAAAGAGAAUCAAAAAUGAAUCUUGAUGUGAAUG